UUUUGGACAAUGGGGGCAACCCUGAUCCAGCCAUGCCGCGUGAGUGAAGAAGGCCUUCGGGUUGUAAAGCUCUUUCGGACGGAACGAAAUGGGCGGGACUAAUACUCCUGUCUGAUGACGGUACCGUAAGAAGAAGCUCCGGCUAACUCCGUGCCAGCAGCCGCGGUAAUACGGAGGGAGCUAGCGUUGUUCGGAAUUACUGGGCGUAAAGCGUACGUAGGCGGUUAUUCAAGUCAGAGGUGAAAGCCCGGGGCUCAACCCCGGAACUGCCUUUAAACUAGGUAGCUAGAAUCUUGAGAGGUCAGUGAAUUCCGAGUGAGAGGUAAAUUCGAAUUUCGAAGACACCAGUGGCGAGGGCGCUGCUGGCAAGUUAGCGCUGCAUCAAA
rnacentral:rRNA from 1 species